rnacentral:rRNA from 1 species
AUUGAACGCUGGCGGCAUGCUUUACACAUGCAAGUCGAACGGUAACAGGCCUUCGGGUGCUGACGAGUGGCGAACGGGUGAGUAAUGCAUCGGAACGUGCCCAGAGGUGGGGGAUAACGCAGCGAAAGCUGUGCUAAUACCGCAUGUGAUCUGAGGAUGAAAGCAGGGGACCAGGCAGCAAUGUUUGGCCUCGCGCCUUUGGAGCGGCCGAUGUCAGAUUAGGUAGUUGGUGGGGUAAAGGCCUACCAAGCCGACGAUCUGUAGCUGGUCUGAGAGGACGACCAGCCACACUGGGACUGAGACACGGCCCAGACUCCUACGGGAGGCAGCAGUGGGGAAUUUUGGACAAUGGGCGCAAGCCUGAUCCAGCAAUGCCGCGUGCGGGAAGAAGGCCUUCGGGUUGUAAAACGCUUUUGUACGGAACGAAAAGGCUCUGGCUAAUACCUGGGGCUGAUGACGGUACCGUAAGAAUAAGCACCGGCUAACUACGUG